rnacentral:lncRNA from 1 species
CAGGUUCUUGAAGCAUUCCUCCAUCCGGUCAUGGAAGGGCCGAAGGUUUUCUGACACUCUCUUCUCAUGGAUCUUGAUCCCAGCUCCCAGGAAGGGGAUCUGGAAAGGAAAGAGGUAAAUGACUAUCCACAGCCUGGCCAGAUGGGCCCCCACCUACAAGGUCACGUCUGCCUGCUAAGAAUUCAUCAAGAGUUUCAGGGUCUUGGGAGACCUGUAAACAACCCUGGGAAACCAGGAAAACUACAACCUUGGAGCUUGCUCUAAAGGGGAAUAGAUCUCCAGCUGCCUGGCCUCACGGAGGUUGGAUGGUCCUACCCCAUCAGAGGUCACGUGCUCUGGAAGGCAAUCUACUGAAGGAGAGACCAGAGGGGAGGAAUCUCUGAGCUUUUACCUAAAGUCACCCCUAAGAGGUUCUUGAAUAUCUGAAGGUGAACUGGGAGGGAAGAAGGGAGUGGCCACAGCCUCACCUCCCAGCAUGGAGGUGCAAUUAGACCUGAUGUGGUUUGCUGAGGGUGGAUACAGAUGUGUUGAUAUCAAAGUUAACCACCAAUAGGGAAUUUCCAAAGUGAUGUUAAAAACCUUGGGAAGAUGAGGGAGGAGGGGAGAACUGGUGGGAGGGAAGUAAAGUCUUGUCCACCAAACAGGUUAAUAGAUUCCGUCCCAAAACUAGCUGUGUCCAAGGAGAGCUACGGGGUUACUACCAGGAGGAGAAGCUGAGAAUGGGUCACAUGGCACAAAGGAGAGUACCUACAAAGGAUUCUUUGGGGAAAAAUUUUAAUAUUCCCAUGAUGGCAAAGAUAUUUCUGCCUCCUGCCCUUGGAGUUCUUGCCAAAAUGGCAAAGUAAAGAAGAAACUGAAAUCAGUAGUGAACUUGGACACAUCUAGGAACUUGCCCCACAAUGUGCAGGGGGAGGUGGGCGGAGGAUGGUAACUGACCUUCCAGGGCAGAGGAGGGAGUUGGUGAUGAGACCCAUCUGCCUCUAGGAACCUGGGGAGGGGGUGGUGGUGGUCAGGCAACAGGUGCCUCAGGAGAGCCCGAGUGGGUAGGCCAGAAGCAGACGGGUGGGUUGAAACUCUGAGCCAGGAGCUAUCAGAUCACCAGGGGCCUGCUGCUUCACCUGUGACCAGGUACAAUGCCUUCUCAUCCCUCCAAGAAGCAGGAGCUUAUUCUCUAGAAUUAUUAGAAUAAGAAGCUUGGGAUUGAGGGGUAACAGGCCCAGCAGAGAGCAGGGUGAAAGUCUGCCUAGAGAUGCUGAGACCUGUACUUUCCAAGUCCCAAACUGCCUGCAGUGUGGCAGCUGGGAGGAUCUGCCCACCCAACAGCUGGAAAGCAUCUGUCUCGGGAAGGAAAGGGUCCCAGGUAGAUAGACAUCUGGAUGGCCAUCCAGUUGGCCAGGCCCUCUCGCAGGUUCGCAGAUUUUUCAUGUGGGCUCUGAAUUAUGAAGAGUUGGCCAACGAUUGCCAGCUACUGGAGGAAAUUCUCCAACAGGAAAGAAAGCCAAUAAGAAGGAACAAAUAAGCAAAUGAAUCAACUUGGAAGAAACAGAGACUGUAGAGGGCCUAAGAAAAUAUUUUUAAAUUAAUAUAUGAAUACAAAAGAUCUUUCAUUAAUAAAGACUUUAUGUAAGAGAAGAAGGGAUUAUGGGAGUACUGCAUAUCAAAUGCACUGAGAUAUAUUUAGAGUUGUUAGUGGAGGCCAAUUUAUAGCUUUCUAUAUUAGAAAAGACAGAAAACGGAGUGGGUAAGCAUCUGUCUCGAUGGAGUGAUAGGAAGCAGGGCUGAGAUGCUGAACAGAGGUGCCUUAAACACAAAUUUGCCAUGGAGAGGAGUCGGGGCAGCAACGGAGAAGCCAUAUUUUGAGGAGAGUGUGGGAAGGAAAAAAUCUGGAAAUAAGCCCAGAGAGUCAGGAAGGCAACCUAAAGAACAAAGCAACUCGCAGUUUCAACCCAGUUCUUGGCCUGAUAGGGGCAGGGAGUGUAGCACGCAAAUACUUCUGGAAUAGGGAAAGGGGCCGGUGCCAGUACCCCUACCACAGCACUCCGCAGUCCUUGCUGCAGGAGGGCUUCAUGGUCCUCAGCAGCUUCAAGUCCAGUCUAGGAAGCCGGCUGGUCUCAAAGUGACUCCUCUACUCCAAAGAAAGAGCUCACUUUGGACCUCCUCCAGCCCCCCAGCUCUCAAAGUAUACAAUGGCCAAACAAAGCUUUCCAAUCACUCCUCCCCUGUGUCCUAUCUGUCCUAUCUCACACUUCUACACAAACUCCUAAGGGAACUACUGCCCUCUUUUAUUAGUGGCUACCAGCCAAAACCUUCUUUCCAGAAGUUGUGGCCAGUGGCUGCCUUAGCUACAAACCCGAGCCCCACCUGAUUUUGCCCCUCAGAUCUAGGUAAGGUCUAUCUCCCCUGACCCACAACCUUGGGACAGUAGCCACUACUGCAGAGUCCUGGCUUCACCUCCACCUGUCUACUGGGAGCUGAGAGAGUUCCCGGCACUGUUCCAUGGUUCUAGGAAUGCAGCUAUCAGUGGCACAAACCCCUUGUGCUGACCUGGAAAGAACUAGGAAAGGUCAUCUUCAAAGACCACAGACUUGAGACUGCAGGUAGAAAAACACCCUUAGCUUAACUCUAGCCUGACCCUGGGAGUCAAGGAGAGGACCCAUCCAUAUCCUUCUUCCCUAGGACAGUAACUACUAAUACCACAACCUUGUCCACAGCAGAGCUUUACCCAUACAACCCCGGGGCACUAUCUUUUAUACCCUGCAGCUCCAAAACCACAAGCCCUGUACCACCUGUAUCUACACACAGGACCUAGGGAAGGUCUUCCCCAUGUUCUAUACCCCCAGAAGCAUACCUACCAGCACUAAAAGCCCCAACAUGAUCUGUACAUAUCUGGGAGGGGGUGGUGGUGGAAUCCAGAGAACAUGGCUCAUGGACUUUGGGACAACAGUACUAAUUCCAAAAGCCCUGGAAGCCCUAGGACCUGGAGAAGGUAUCAUCUGGGUCUCCUGGUUACACAGAAGCAUCUAACAGUACUAUAAGCCCCAGAAUCAACUGCAAUCACUCCCAAGGUCCUCUUUGUGUUCCAAAACCUUGAGACCAUGGUUACUGGUAUCACAGACCCCCAAAAAAUACACAAAAGAGAGAUGAGAAUCAAACUUUAGGGCAUGACAGAAAACCACAAAAUCACAAUAAUAAAAAGGAAAGUCAAAAAAGAAAAGAAACUGUACAAAAUAAGCAGAACACACUUAAUGACAGGAGGAAGAAUCUAUCAACAAUAAAUUUUGAAUGUUAGUGGAUUAAUUUCAGCAAUCAAAAUGCUUAAACUGGUUAAUUUUUUUAAAGGAGAGAAUUCAAGAUGGCAAAACAGAGGAAGGCUGCAUUCCUAGUUGCUCCAUGGCUCAAGACUCAAGGAGCUGAGAUAGAGCCAUCUGGAAGCAGCCCUGCUGCAGCUGCUGCUGCAGAGCCAGGAGAUCAGGCAAGCACAUCCCACAUGGCCAAAUGUGCAUGAAACAGGAACAGAGAGGACUGUGCCCAGGGGGAUUCAAAUUGGAAAAGCAACGAGGGGCCAACUUGAUCCUCCUUUGAGUCCGGGGACUCACGUGGCCAGCUGAAGCAGGUCAGGAAUCUGAACAGGCAGGUGUGAAUACACCCCCGGGACUGAGCCUGGAAACGUGCUUGUGGGCAAAAGAGUGUGUCGAGGAUGGCCCUGUGCCCAUAAGUGGGAUUCUUGGGAAACUUCUGAGAUCCAGACUCCUGUUAGAGGAGAGGGACCUAAUCUCUCCAGAGCACACACCGAGGAAGCCAGCCAACUUAGGUGGACCUACGCUCCACCUGCUGGAACUCACCUCAUACAACUCUGUAGCAGCCCACCCGGGGGUCGGGGGGCGGGCAUUGAUCUGGUCUAUGCAGGCAAACCUGACAGCACUUCCCAAUCCAUUCAACCUCAGACUAAUGAGAAGGGAAGCCGAAACUUAUUUCAGACGAUUUCAAUCUUAGGUCAUUCCAACUGGAAGCUCAGAGAGCAACACACAAAGAGGAAGGGGUUACCAACCCCCAGCCCUUGCUUUCUUGUUCUCAGUACAUAGCUCAAGAAGAAAUGAAAAGACAGGUGUAGACAGUGACCAUCCAUCCUGGUCAACUAUUUUGACCACCUCAUUAGAGAUGAUUCCUCCAUUAUUCAUUAAUUCUUUUUCUUUCUCUUUCUCUGUAUGUGUUUAUUUGUGAGCUCUGGGGUUUGGUGUUGAUUUCAGGGAGAGGGAGGGAGGGUGGGAGAGAGAGAGAGCAAGAGAGACACUGUUCUUACUGUGAUGAUGGGUUCAGAGACCUAUAUACAUAUUUAUUCUUUCUCAUUGUCAGCAUUUUUAAGCCUAGUUAUUUUUGUUUGUCUUUUGAGGGUUAGAAUUUUUUGGUUUGUAUAUUUUUUUUUUGUUUGUAUAUUUGCUUUGUUUUGUAUUUGAUUCUCUUUCUGUUUUUCUUCUCUAAUAGUCAAAUUCUACUGUCCUCUCUUCCUCUCUCCCUAUACUUUGUUUCUAUAUUUCCCCUCUUUCCUGUAACCAUCACCUGCUACAUCUUUUCUGCAUUCUCUGCUCACUUUUUGAAAUUGUAAACUCUUUUCUACCUUCCUAUCACAUUUUAUUUUCUCUUAACUCUAUUUUUACAGUCUUUAAAAACUAAUUGAUUUAUAUAACUCCUACCCUCCCCAUUAAUGCUGAUGCAAUUAUUACUGCUGUGGAUGACAUAGUUGACACCUGCUGUUUGCUUUAAAGCCAAAUGUAGUUCAUGGUUAUUGGUUUUACUGUUCACAAUUGCUGACCCCACCAUUUCUGGUUUCUCUGUGUGUUAAUUAAUGUUGUAGAUAUCAUAGCAAGAACUGAGUAUUUAUUUUAGUGGUAUAUAUUGUUUGCAUUUGUUGUUGUUACUGUUUGUUUUGCUUGAUUGUGUGAGGUUCUGGGAACAUACAGGGACACUCCAAGUUCACAGGGUAGAGAAUCUGCUGCUGAACUACAUCUAUACAAAAGACAGAGCAUUUCACUCCACCCACAAAUUAAUGACACAAUCUUCAGCUGUAUGUUAAAAUAAAGAACAGGGAGGAAACACCAAGUUAAUGACCAGGCCCCAAGUAGAAAUGAAUAGGGGUGGCCCCCAGGUCCUACCUACAGACAGUCACUGCUAUAGCAAAAAUAGAAGUAACAAUGGCUAGGGAUACUACAUCUACAAGAGGGCCUCAACCUAGAUCACUGGAACAAUUUGGAAUGUAAAGACUAUGCCCUAAAAUGGCCCACCUCCUGACAGAUGCAUAAAACCCAACACAGGAAUACAGAAAUAUGAAGAAACAAAGUAACAUGACACCUCCUAAAGUUCAUAAUUCACCAGCAACUGACCCUAAAGGUAUUGAAAUGGAUGAUACAUUAUAUAAAGAAUUCAAAAAAAUCAUUAUAAAAAUGAUCAAUGAAUUCCAAGAAAAUCACAGAAAAACAACUAUAUGAAUUAGGGAAGUCAGUACUGGAUAUGAAUGAGAAAUUCAAUAAGGAGAUAGAAAUACUGAAAACGAACCAAAAAGAAAUCCUGGAAAUGAAAGGCAAAUCAAAUAAAAUGCCCAACUGGAAGUCUCUCUAAUAGAGUAGACCACACUGAAAACAAUCUCAGAGCUGGAAGACAAAGUGGCCACCUUAAACAAUCAGACAGCAUUAAAGAAAAAAAAAAAAAGGAAGAAGAAACCAUGAUCAGAAUAUUCAAGAACUCUGGGACAACAUUAUAAGACCAGAUUAAGAAUCACUGCAAUUGAGGAAGGUUGAGAGAUGCAGGCUAAUGGAAUGGAACAGAAAGUGUUCUAAACUUUCAGAAUGAGAGGGACAUCCAGAUAUGGGAAGCAUACAGAACUGAAAAUGGAAAGGAUCUAAAAACAACCUCUCCCCAACAUGUUGUAAUUAAAAUGCUGAACAUACAGAUAAAAGAUAGAAUUUUAAAAGCCACAGAGAAAAAUGUCAGGUCACAUUUAGAGGCAAGCCUAUCAGAAGCACUUCUGAUUUCUUAGCACAAACUUUAAAAGCCAGAAGGGCUUGGAAUGAUGUGAUCCAAGUCCUAAAAGAAAAUUACUGUCAAAAAAGAUUGCUAUUUCCAGCAAAGCUAUCCUUCAAAUUUGAUGAAGAAAUUUCUGCUACCAAGAUGAGCAGAAACUAAAAGAAUUCAUGACAACUAAACUGGCACUACCUAACUUACUUAAAGAAAUACUGCACAUCAAACCAAAAAGCUGCUUCACAGCAUAGGUAAUAAUCAUGAACGUGAAGAGAGAACCACCUUUACCACCUGCACCUCAGAUAGAGCAUCAGUCUCCAAGAUAUAUAAAGAACUCCAAAAAGUUAACACCAAAACCAAAUAACCCAAUCAAUAAAUGGGCAAAGGAACUGAACAGGGACUUCAUAUAAAAAGAAAUAUGAAUGGUCAACAAAUAUAUGAAAAAAUGUUCAACAUCUCUAGUAGUUAGAGAAAUGUAAUUUAAAACUACAUCGAGAUUCCAUCUCACUCCAGUCCAAAUGGCAAUUAUCAAGAAUACAAUUAACAAUAAAUGUUGGUGAGGAUGUGGGGAAAUGGUUCACUCAUACAUUGUUAGUGGGACUGCAAAUUAGUGCAAUCACUCUGGAAAGCAGUAUGGAGAUUCCUAAGAAAACUUGAAAUGGAACCACUAUUUGACCCAGUUAUCCAGCUCCUUGGUAUAUGCCUAAAGAACUUACAAUCAGCAUACUACAGUGACAAAGCCACAUCGAUGUUUACAGCAGCUCAAUUGACACUAGCAAAGCACUGGACCAACCUAGGUGCCCUUCAACAGAUGAAUAGAAAUAAAAUGUGGUACACACACACAGUGUAAUAUUACUCAGCCAUAAGGAAGAAUAAAAAUAUGGCAUUUCCUGGUAAAUGGAUGAAACUGGAGACUGUCAUGCUGAGUGAAAUAAGCCAGUCCCCCCAAACCAAAGGCUGAAUGUUCUCUCUGAUAUGUGGGUGCUAACACACAAUAAGGGGGAGGGGAGGGAAGAGUAGAAGUUCAUUGGAUUAAACAAAAGGGAAUGAAGGGAAGGGAAGGGGUUGGAAUUAUGAAAGACAGGAGAGUGAGUUGGACAUAACUUUCCUAUGUUCAAAUAUGAAUACACAAUUAGUGAACCUCACAUCAUGUACAGCCACAAGAAUGGGAUCCUAAUUAGACAAAUCUCACUGAAGUGUAGCUAAGUAAAUGAGAAACAGGACCAAAUUAACUUUAUAAAUAAAUCAAAAUGGC